rnacentral:rRNA from 1 species
UACGUAGGGUGCAAGCGUUAAUCGGAAUUACUGGGCGUAAAGCGUGCGCAGGCGGUUUUGUAAGUCUGUCGUGAAAUCCCCGGGCUCAACCUGGGAAUGGCAAUGGAUACUGGCUCGCUAGAGUGUGAUAGAGGAUGGUGGAAUUCCCGGUGUAGCGGUGAAAUGCGUAGAGAUCGGGAGGAACAUCAGUGGCGAAGGCGGCCAUCUGGAUCAACACUGACGCUGAGGCACGAAAGCGUGGGGAGCAAACAGG